rnacentral:rRNA from 1 species
GGGGUACGCCACUGGGACUGAAACCGGCCCAGGACUCCUACGGGAGGCAGCAGUAGGGAAUCUUCCGCAAUGGGCGAAUUUCUGACCUACCAACGCCUCUUUCGUGAACAAUUUUUCCCUUCUUUUUUUUUCUCUUUUACGUUCCUUCCCUCUUACCUUUAUCCUUUUUUUCCUUUCUCCCACCAUUCUCCUUUUCUUUCCCCCUUCCUUUUUUUCUCUCCUUACAAGCCACCCUUUCUUUUUUUUCUUUCCCCUUUCCUUUUAUCCUACAUCUUUAUCCCCCAUCUUUUCCUCCUCUUCUCCCUUCCUUUCUCUCUCCCUUUUUUUUUUUCUUUCUUUCCUUUUUCUUUCUUUUUUCUCUCCUUUUUUUCUUUCCUUUUUUUCUUUAAUAUUCCGGCUUCCGAUCAAGUUAUGAUGUAGAAACUUCAUUUUGAUUUAAAAUAAUCCCUCUUUGCUGAUUGACCAUAUUUCACAAUAAAUAUUAUAUUCUCCCCCACUCCA